GUGCUCGGUUCGUCAGCACAUAUACUAAAAUUGGAAUGAUACAGAGAAGAUAAGCAUGGCCCUUGCACAAGGAUGACAUGCAAAUUCAUGAAGCGUUACAUAUUUUU
ensembl:snRNA U6 U6 spliceosomal RNA